GCUCAACGGAUAAAAGCUACCCUGGGGAUAACAGGCUUAUCUCCCCCAAGAGUCCACAUCGACGGGGAGGUUUGGCACCUCGAUGUCGGCUCAUCACAUCCUGGGGCUGUAGUAGGUCCCAAGGGUUGGGCUGUUCGCCCAUUAAAGUGGUACGCGAGCUGGGUUCAGAACGUCGUGAGACAGUUCGGUCCCUAUCCGUCGCAGGCGUAGGAAAUUUGAGAAGACCUGUCCUUAGUACGAGAGGACCGGGAUGGACGUAUCUCUGGUGUACCAGUUGUCCUGCCAAGGGCAUGGCUGGGUAGCUAUGUACGGAAUGGAUAAGCGCUGAAAGCAUCUAAGCGCGAAGCCAACUUCAAGAUAAGAUUUCCCACCGCAAGGGUAAGACCCCAGAAAGACUAUCUGGUUGAUAGGUCGAAGGUGUAAGUGCAGCAAUGUAUUUAGCUUAUCGAUACUAAUAGGUCGAGGACUUGACCAAU
rnacentral:rRNA from 1 species